CCGGAUGACUGGUCGACACAAGUGGAUCGGCAGGAGUGGAGGACCCGAGCACAUCGGGCCGACCGGACUUCCGGUCAGCCCUUGGGGUGAAGCCGCCGUGUGCGGCCGGGCAACUUCGCCAGCCCGAACCCGACAGGUCAUCCUUCACAGGCGGCUGACGAAGGGUUGC
rnacentral:sRNA from 2 species